GGUGGGGCGGCCUGGGGUUAAGGAUGACACGAAAGUUCUCCCCUGCUUGGCCUCGCUCCCUGGGGCAAAGGGACAACGUGCAGCAAGAGAGCUUCGUGUCAGGUCCGGGAGAGCCGCGGCCACCGCCAGGGCCUGCAGACAGACCCCCUCUCCAGCUGCGGCCGCAGGGGAGGCCGAGGGCACGACCCGGGGACAGAGGGAGCCCUCCAACUGAAGCGCUGAUCGUGUGCCAGCCCCCGACAGCAGCCUCAUGACAUGAGUACUGUUAUUCACGCCAGUUACAGAUGAGCAUGAUGACGCUCAGAGAGGGUCUCGAGGAGCCUGAGGCUCUGCUUUCUGUGAUGCUCCCAGGUGGUGCUGAUGCUGCUGGGCCACAGACCAUACUCUCAACAGUGGAGUCGGAGGAGAUAUUUCUGAAAGGUGAGUCUGCUGUGUUCCCUACCAGGAGCUCCUGUCACAGCCCUGACACCUGCUGAAGUGCUUGGCUCAUGUGAAGAGCAGACAGGGCAGUAUCCCACGAAGGCGGGGAGGUCUGUCUGUCCUGUUCCCAGCUGUGUGUGCCUGGAUCACAGACGGGCUCUCAAUACCUGUGGAAUGUUGGCAGGACUCGAGGAACUCAGAACAGACACCCCUCUCCAGGCACCUUCUGAAACAUUUGCUGGGCGGGGGUGUGAUGGAUUUGAGUCCUUAUUUGGUCCAGGACUGCUGCAAACUCACGAAAGAUCUUAGAAACCAUCCAAAGCACGUCUUUCUUAAACUCGUAAAUCUGACCCAGCCACCUUACACAUCAGGCCGCCACCUGAGCACACGCGGCUGUUUUUCUUGUUAUGGGAGCUUUGGCCAGCGUGGUCUCCAAGUGGCACAUGGGAGAGGGUACUUCCUGCUCUGACGCUUGGGCAUGUGGGCCACAGAGGGGCCAGUCUCCAGGAUGAAGCACUUUCUUUAAGAUGGGGCCAAAGCAUCCCAGGUGAGCUCUUGGGCCGCUUAACCAGGCUCACGGAUUUGGCCUAGUCCUUGUCCUGACGCUCUCAGGGCUGGUCCAGGCAGGGAGCCAAAUGCCUUGCUCUUCCACAGUCUAUCUGUCUGUUUGUUUUGAUCAGAGAGAACGGGAAGAGAAACUGUUCAUUACCACGGUAACUGCUUAGGGAGUCUUAAGUAAGGAAGCCUGUGGUCCAGCUCUCCUCCGAUGAGGGUCCUGCCUUCCAGGAAACUAUCAUCUUCUUAGGGAGCAAGACUCCCAGAACACGAGCUGUGGAGCCAGGACCAAUGGGAGGACUCCUGAGCUGGGGCUAACGCAGAGGGCUUCCCAGAGGAGCAAAAAUGAGCCAGGCCUUCAAGUAGUUGGAUAACAAGGAGGAUAAAGGAAGAGCAUGAAUGUGGAGAUGACAUAUCCCAGCAUUCUUUCAGAGGUGAUGACUAUGGCAGGCUGCCUAGAAGAAAGUCUGGGGUGUAACGGGUAGAAAAGCAAAGUGGAUGCAGAGUGUAGACAGCCUUGGAUGUCAGGCCAGAGGACUGGAAGCCUGGACCCAUCCCUUUGGAACUAGAGUCCAGGAGGUACAUUCUGUUAGGCUCAGGCUGUCACAGGACAGUCACAGAGAGACAGGCUCCUGAGUGAAGCCAAGGCUGGGUCACCAGAUAGAUGGAGAGCACAAAGAUCCAGCCACUAGGUACGGCUGUACAGUUUGUGCACUGCACAAGAGCGCCUGCCGAGGGAGCAGGUAAGCGCUGAAACCCAGCUCUCCUAUCAUCAAGCUAUGCACCCUGGUAUGGGCUGCCUUCUCCUAGGGGCUCCUCCAUCCACUGCUCACUAAGGCCCCCCUACAGGCCAGCAGUGGUCUGAUCAGCUCAAGUCACAGCCACGCGGUGUUUUCCCCUUGUGGCAAGGCAUUUUCUCAGAGCAGCCAGUCGCGUACAUUCCCCGGGUGUCCCAAGGAGGGCACUGCUCAGCUUUGCACAGGAUGACCAAGCCCUGAAGGCACAUUCUAAGAUUCUAGAAUGCGUCAUUCUAAGGAUACGGUUGGAACCCGAGCAGACCAGUGUCCUGCUCCUGCUGGCGGACAGAACCAGCGAGCAGGUGGUCUGUAAUGGCCCACUUCAGCCGGGCUCACCCAGAUCUCCCUACUGCAAGGACGACUGAGCUCCCACGCAGGAAUACGGGCAAACAGAGCCUCUGCGGCCCUCAAGAUGCUCCCGGUGGGGCCAGCAGCUGUCCGCCCCGAGCGUUUGCUUCACAAAGUGUCCCACGGUCACCCUGGCAGCAGCCUCCAACUUCACGUGUGCCGAUGACACAGAGAAAGGCAGAGGGCUCCAGGACCCUUAGAGCCGGUGUUUCUCUUUAGGGCACCACAGGCUUUUUGGUUCCCCGGUCACUGUGACAACCAAAAAUGUCCCCCUACACGUGUCAAUGGCUCCCUUGGGAGGAGUGAAUCGCCCCCAGAUGAGCAUACCUGAGCCCCUCCCAGUAGAAGAGAAAACUGGGGCCCAGUACCUCGUCCCGGGUCCUCCUGCUGGGAGAGGCACAGCAAGAACUGGCAGGCAGGCUUCCUCCCCCCUCGGCUCCAGCUCUCCCACUCACUGGCAGUGGUCUUUCAUCCCUCAGCCUUCAUCGUGCCCGAGCUUUCUGAAUGGAGACCACAGGACUGACUGGGCCAAGCGGUCCAACUUUAUCCCCUGCCCCCAGAUGCUUGUGACAGCUACAUGGAUAUCGGUCAGAACCCCUCUGUCGGCCUCUGAGGCCUGGAAGCAUGAGCACAGAUGAGUGGGUCUGUAGGCUGGCCCUGACUUCGGAGGUCCCCCACGGUUCUGUGGUGUCCUCACUCUCCACGGGGCUGGACCCGCAUCCUGCGCAUGACCUGCUCAGGCGAAACCGUGGCUCAAAUGUUGUUCACCUCCCUGACGAUUCCUGGGGGAACCCUGCCGUCUCCUGCCCGCUGGCUGUGCUCACAGUGAGCAGAGUGGACUCACUCCCACAGGAGGCCAGGAGAGGCGCAGGUGGAGGCGCCGCGGCAGGGCCCAGCCCGGAGCCUCUGCAUGAGGCUGGAUGCCCCGCUUUACCCCUUGCCUCUCCCUGGAGCUGGCCGGACUCUGUGGGGCUCCUGGGGCCAACCAGCCACGAGCUGUCAGCCAUGUGCUGUGACCUCCAGGAACAGGACCCGAGAAGGCCUCGACACAUGCCGGGGUCCCUUGCAUUCGGAGCUCAUCAUAGAUGACAGCCAAUAAAUAAAUUGUAUAACUUUUA